UGAUAGGAUUGUAUUGGAGCAAUUGAUGGAACACAUGUUCGCGCAUCACUUCCAACGAAUGAGCAAAUCCCCUACAUUGGUAGAAAGGGAUAUCCUACCCAAAACAUUAUGGUCGUGUGUACUUUUGACAUGCUAUUCACCUUUGUGUGGCCAGGGUGGGAAGGAACAGCGCAUGAUACACGUAUAUUUUUGGAGGCUCUACAAAGCAUUGAUCUAAAAUUUCCUAAACCAUUGGAUGGUUUGUGACUUUUAUUUAUAAUAAAUUUUUAUAUAUUUUGGUAACAUCAUAAGGUCUUCACUCCUAUUGAUAUUUGAAUUGAUAAUUUUGCAGAUAAAUACUACUUGGUUGAUGCGGGCUAUCCAAAUAUGAAAUGUUAUUUAGCUCUAUAUAAGGGAGAAAGAUACCAUCUUCCUGAUUUUAGACGUGUGGUAGUCAACCUAGAGGCUCUCGAGAAGUUUUUAAUCAUGCACAUUACUCACUACGAAGUGUUAUUGAACGUUGCUUUUGGGUAUGGAAAUUGCGAUGGAGAAUAUUACUCCAUAUGCCAAAUUUUGAUUUUGAUAAGCAAGUAACUAUUGUUACGGCUUCAAUGGCACUGCAUAACUUUAUAAGAAGGAAGGCUAUAGCUGAUUUGAAAUUUCAAAAAUACAAUGAGAAAGAAGAUUAUUUGAUCGAUGAUGAAGACUCAAAUAUAAAUUCAAUUGUUGAUGAGGGUGAAAUGAGAUUUAUUCGUGAUAGAAUUGCUAGAGAGCUUAUGCUUAGAUGAACAUUGUUUUUUAUUGUUUCCAA
rnacentral:lncRNA from 1 species